GAGUCCUUUUGUGGAAAACACAGCUAACCCCACUGACAAAACGGGAAGAGAGCCUGCCUCAGAAUAACCUGUUGACAUAUGGAGAAUGAUGGAAACAAAUGCUGCCUGGAUGUUGGAUGAUACAGGCAGCAUGUGACACAAAAACUCUGUGAUGAAUGGAAUUAACUCUCAUUUUGAGAAGUGAAGUAUCUGCUUCAGCCCUGAUCCUUUCUGACAUCUUGAAAUGUCGAACUGAUAUCCAGUGGACUCUUGAACUCUGCUAUCUGCCAAGAAGAAAUUUGGGCCUUCGAGUUUUCUUUCAUUCUAGAAUGAAAUCUCUAGAUGUUAUCUAGCUAGAAGUAUAUUAUCCAUCCCCUUGGAAUUCGGGAUAACAGAUUUCGGGAAGGUGUCUGGUGCCAAUUUUGUUAUUAAAAUGUUGAUUAUAACCAUCUGAAUCAUCCACACCAGUUAUAAAUCCUAAAUAUUAGAUAUUCUUUUUCUUUGAGAUUUUAUU
rnacentral:lncRNA from 1 species